rnacentral:rRNA from 1 species
GAUGAACGCUGGCGGCGUGCUUAACACAUGCAAGUCGAACGGAAAGGCCCAAGCUUGCUUGGGUACUCGAGUGGCGAACGGGUGAGUAACACGUGGGUGAUCUGCCCUGCACUUCGGGAUAAGCCUGGGAAACUGGGUCUAAUACCGGAUAGGACCACUUCUUGGAUGUUGUGGUGGAAAGUUUUUUCGGUGUGGGAUGAGCUCGCGGCCUAUCAGCUUGUUGGUGGGGUAAUGGCCUACCAAGGCGUCGACGGGUAGCCGGCCUGAGAGGGUGUACGGCCACAUUGGGACUGAGAUACGGCCCAGACUCCUACGGGAGGCAGCAGUGGGGAAUAUUGCACAAUGGGCGCAAGCCUGAUGCAGCGACGCCGCGUGGGGGAUGACGGACUUCGGGUUGGAAACUCCUUUCGCUAGGGACGAAGCGUUUUGUGACGGUACCUGGAGAAGAAGCACCGGCUAACUACGUG